rnacentral:rRNA from 1 species
UUAGACGUUAAUAAACCUCUAGUUUACCAGAGUACUACGAGCUAUUAACUUAAAACUCAAAGAGCUUGGCGGUGCUUUAGACUUCUCAGGGGAACCUGUCUCGUAAUCGACAGUCCACGAAUUUACCUCACCUUUUCUUGCGAUCAGUAUGUAUACCGUCGUCGCCAGGUAACUUUUUAAAAUAUAGAAGUUAGCAAGAAAACCAUUUAGUUUUCACGUCAGAUCAAGGUGCAACCUAUGGAAAGGAGAUGAUGGGUUACAAUUAAAAUUUAUAACUACGGAUAUCAACCUUUAAAAGUUUUGGAAGGAGGACUUGAAAGUAAAAUUUAGCAGUUAAAUUCUUUGAAUUAAGCUCUGAAGCG